rnacentral:rRNA from 1 species
GACGAACGCUGGCGGCGUGCUUAACACAUGCAAGUCGAACGGCAAGGCCCUGCUUUUGUGGGGUGCUCGAGUGGCGAACGGGUGAGUAACACGUGAGUAACCUGCCCUUGACUUUGGGAUAACUUCAGGAAACUGGGGCUAAUACCGGAUAGGAGCUCCUGCUGCAUGGUGGGGGUUGGAAAGUUUCGGCGGUUGGGGAUGGACUCGCGGCUUAUCAGCUUGUUGGUGGGGGAGUGGCUUACCAAGGCUUUGACGGGUAGCCGGCCUGAGAGGGUGACCGGCCACCUUGGGCCUGCGAUACGGCCCAGACUCCUACGGGAGGCAGCAGUGGGGAAUAUUGCACAAUGGGCGGAAGCCUGAUGCGGCAACGCCGCGUUCGGGAUGACGGCCUUCGGGUUGUAAACCGCUUUCGCCUGUGACGAAGCGUGAGUGACGGUAAUGGGUAAAUAAGCACCGGCUAACUACGUG